AUCGCCGUGGCCCAGUGGAACGGCGCCAGGCUCAUAACCUGGAGAUCCUAGGAUCGAGACCUAGCGGCGAUA